rnacentral:rRNA from 1 species
AUUGAACGCUGGCGGCAGGCCUAACACAUGCAAGUCGAGCGAGCGGCGGACGGGUGAGUAAUGUCUGGGAAACUGCCCGAUGGAGGGGGAUAACGACUGGAAACGGGAGCUAAUACCGCAUACUAUCAGAUGAGCCCAGAUGGGAUUAGCUAGUAGGUGGGGUAACGGCUCACCUAGGCGACGAUCCCUAGCUGGUCUGAGAGGAUGACCAGCCACCCUGGGACUGGGACCCCGUCCAUGCUCCUACGGUAGUCAGCAGUGGGGAAUAUUGCACAAUGGGCGCAAGCCUUAUGCAGCCAUCCCGCGUGUGUGACGAAGGCCUUCGGGUUGUAAAGCACUUUCAGCGGGGAGGCGUUACCCGCAUAAGAAGCACCGGCUAACUCCGUGCCAGCAGCCGCGGUAAUUC